AUGAACGUUUACUCGGAGGUUCUCGCGAAUCUAUUUGAGUCCAAACAUUGAUGUCAAGUGUAGGGGGGACGGGCAACACUGACAUUCACCACCCGUAUACUACAACGACAUCUCUCAAUUCUACGUAGCAAUCAUAAGACAAAACAGAGACCAGAUGCAGACAGCGCAGACGCAUGGACCUCAAACAUAUAUACAACAAAAAUAUUCAGACUUAGGGCAGAAAGAAUUUUAGGACAGUGAAGAAAGAAAAAAAAAGACCGACGAUAGACACAAGUGAUGACCACACAGACAGACAAAUAAAUGACAGACAGAUAGUAGAUAGAUAGACAAUGAAAAGACAGUAAGAUAAAAGACAUACAGACGAUAGAAAGACGGAUAGACAGAUAGAUAGAACACAUACAGACGAUAGACAGACAGAUAGAUAGAACACAUACAGACGAUAGACAGACAGACAGAUAGAACACAUACAGACGAUAUACAGACAGAUAGAUAGAACACAUACAGACGAUAGACAGACAGAUAGAUAGAACACAUACAGACGAUAGACAGACAGACAGAUAGAACACAUACAGACGAUAGACAGACAGAUAGAUAGAACACAUACAGACGAUAGACAGACAGAUAGAUAGAACACAUACAGACGAUAGACAGACAGAUAGAUAGAACACAUACAGACGAUACAGUGAAGAAAGAAAAAAAAAGACAGACGAUAGACACAACUGAUGACCACACAGACAGACAAAUAAAUGACAGACAGAUAGUAGAUAGUUAGACAAUGAAAUGACAGUAAGAUAGAAGACAUACAGACGAUAGAAAGACGGAUAGACAGACAGAUAGAACACAUACAGACGAUAGACAGACAGAUAGAUAGACAGACAGAUAGAACACAUACAGACGAUAGACAGACAGAUAGACAGACAAAAGACAUACAGACGAUGGACAGACAGACAGAUAGAAGACAUACAGACGAUGAACAGACAGAUAGAAGACAUACAUACGAUGAUUAGACAGACAUAGACGACAUACAGACAAAG